CGGGAUCACUAUCAUUGUGAAA
rnacentral:miRNA from 10 species